GAUGAACGCUAGCGGGAGGCCUAACACAUGCAAGCCGAGCGGUAUUGUUUCUUCGGAAAUGAGAGAGCGGCGUACGGGUGCGUAACACGUGUGCAACCUGCCUUUAUCUGGGGGAUAGCCUUUCGAAAGGAAGAUUAAUACUCCAUAAUAUAUUGAACGGCAUCGUUUAAUAUUGAAAGCUCCGGCGGAUAGAGAUGGGCACGCGCAAGAUUAGCUAGUUGGUGAGGUAACGGCUCACCAAGGCGAUGAUCUUUAGGGGGCCUGAGAGGGUGAUCCCCCACACUGGUACUGAGACACGGACCAGACUCCUACGGGAGGCAGCAGUGAGGAGUAUUGGUCAAUGGGUGCAAGCCUGAACCAGCCAUCCCGCGUGAAGGACGACUGCCCUAUGGGUUGUAAACUUCUUUUGUAUAGGGAUAAACCUACCCUCGUGAGGGUAGCUGAAGGUACUAUACGAAUAAGCACCGGCUAACUCCGUG
rnacentral:rRNA from 1 species